CAUUACGGAAGUAUCGUUGUCUGUUAUACAAUUUUAUAACAAAAAGAAAAGAAAACAAACGAUCGCUUGUUUUUAUACCUAUAAAAAGCGCAUACUUACAUACUAAAGUAACAAAAUAACAAAACAGGCGCAUAUUAAAGAAAGAAAGAAAAAAAGAAGAGCUCCUUUUCACGGAUUCAAAUAAUAUAAUUAUAAGAAUGAUGAAAUACUUGCCUGGAUAUUUAUUUCGGUGAUCGCAAUUAGGAUAAUCAAUUUGAAGAUGGUCACGUUUAUUGUUCUCUAAUUUAUUAACGAUGGAAUAUAUUCCUCGUCUGUGAUGUAAUACCAUGUCGCUCUCCCCACGAUACUUAAGUCUGUAAUAUAAUGUUAUCAUAUA